CUACGAAAUAGAGCAUUCCCUCCGGGCAUGGCAGCGCGCAACUUUAGGAAUCUAGAGAGAAUAGGUCUGCAGCGCAUAUAUCAGCUGGUGCAGGAUGCAGAGGUAGUGACUUUCGACGCCUUACAACAAAGGGGGCAUCUCACUCCCGCAGACUUUUUCAGGUACCUACAAAUAAAAGAUUUUGCAAAACUGACAUGGGUCCGAGCGGCGGCCCUAAAG